GAUGAACGCUGGCGGCGUGCCUAAUACAUGCAAGUCGAGCGAACGGACGAGAAGCUUGCUUCUCUGAUGUUAGCGGCGGACGGGUGAGUAACACGUGGAUAACCUACCUAUAAGACUGGGAUAACUUCGGGAAACCGGAGCUAAUACCGGAUAAUAUUAUGAACCGCAUGGUUCAAAAGUGAAAGACGGUCUUGCUGUCACUUAUAGAUGGAUCCGCGCUGCAUUAGCUAGUUGGUAAGGUAACGGCUUACCAAGGCAACGAUGCAUAGCCGACCUGAGAGGGUGAUCGGCCACACUGGAACUGAGACACGGUCCAGACUCCCACGGGAGGCAGCAGUAGGGAAUCUUCCGCAAUGGGCGAAAGCCUGACGGAGCAACGCCGCGUGAGUGAUGAAGGUCUUCGGAUCGUAAAACUCUGUUAUUAGGGAAGAACAUAUGUGUAAGUAACUGUGCACAUCUUGACGGUACCUAAUCAGAAAGCCACGGGCUAACUACGUGCCAGCAGCCGCGGUAAUACGUAGGUGGCAAGCGUUAUCCGGAAUUAUUGGGCGUAAAGCGCGCGUAGGCGGUUUUUUAAGUCUGAUGUGAAAGCCCACGGUCAACCGUGGAGGGUCAUUGGAAACUGGAAAACUUGAGUGCAGAAGAGGAAAGUGGAAUUCCCAUGUGUAAGCGGUGAAAUGCGCAGAGAUAUGGAGGAACACCAGUGGCGAAGGCGACUUUCUGGUCUGUAACUGACGCUGAUUGUGCGAAACGUGGGGAUCCACGGAUUAUACCUGGUAGUCCACGCCGUAACGAUGAUUGCUAGUGUCAGGGUUCGGCCUUAUG
rnacentral:rRNA from 1 species